UAGGGAAUCUUCGGCAAUGGACGGAAGUCUGACCGAGCAACGCCGCGUGAGUGAAGAAGGUUUUCGGAUCGUAAAGCUCUGUUGUAAGAGAAGAACGAGUGUGAGAGUGGAAAGUUCACACUGUGACGGUAUCUUACCAGAAAGGGACGGCUAACUACGUGCCAGCAGCCGCGGUAAUACGUAGGUCCCGAGCGUUGUCCGGAUUUAUUGGGCGUAAAGCGAGCGCAGGCGGUUAGAUAAGUCUGAAGUUAAAGGCUGUGGCUUAACCAUAGUACGCUUUGGAAACUGUUUAACUUGAGUGCAAGAGGGGAGAGUGGAAUUCCAUGUGUAGCGGUGAAAUGCGUAGAUAUAUGGAGGAACACCAGUGGCGAAAGCGGCUCUCUGGCUUGUAACUGACGCUGAGGCUCGAAAGCGUGGGGAGCAAACAGGAUUAGAUACCCUGGUAGUCCACGCCGUAAACGAUGAGUGCUAGGUGUUAGACCCUUUCCGGGGUUUAGUGCCGCAGCUAACGCAUUAAGCACUCCGCCUGGGGAGUACGACCGCAAGGUUGA
rnacentral:rRNA from 1 species